rnacentral:lncRNA from 10 species
UACCAUUUGCCAAAUACAGCAAGCUUCUUUUUGAAUAAUCCAUGCCUGAAUAAAUUGAAAUUCCAGCCAACUCAAGGAUGACGGAAACAUUUUUAGAAGUUUAAAAAUAAGCAUAAUUUCAUUACCAGGCAUAAAACCUGGUUGGAAACGUUUAUAAAGGAAGUCAAAUAAGUAAACUAAAAAAAAAAAAAAAAGUUUGUUUUCAUUAAUCAGCUUGCGUGAGGUUAUGAGAGAGGAGAGGCUCUUCCAAGACCCUGGCCCAAGUUCCGGCCCAUGGAGAAGGCCCCAAACAUCAGGAAAGAGAUGAGGAAAAGACUUAAGUCUUCACCAACACUGAAGGAGCAUCACCCCCACCCAGCAGUCAUGGUGAAAGCUUGGAACUCUUUGGGGACUCUCAGGGUUUUCAGCUGCUAUAUCCAAAGUCAACCAAAGAAUGAUUCUGGAAUCAAG